rnacentral:rRNA from 1 species
UCGUGAGGCGGAGCUAAUCCCUUAAAGCCAUUCUCAGUUCGGAUUGUAGGCUGAAACUCGCCUACAUGAAGCUGGAGUUACUAGUAAUCGCAGAUCAGAAUGCUGCGGUGAAUGCGUUCCCGGGUCUUGUACACACCGCCCGUCACACCACGGAAGUUGGGGGCGCCCGAAGCCACUUAGCUAACCCUUUUGGGAAGCGAGUGUCGAAGGUGAAAUCAAUAACUGGGGUGAAGUCGUAACAAGGUAUC